UAAAAAGAAAUUGUGGGGGGUCAAAUUUUUCUCAUUUCAGAUUUCAGAAAUUAAAAAGAAUUAUUCUUCAAAUAUUAUUUUUUUUUCAAAUUUCAAAUAUUGAAAAAUUUCAAGAAGUAAUCUUUAAUUGCACAGUAUGGCGCAUUAGAUUUGUAAAAUCUUUGAUCACAUUUAUUUAUUUGUUAUGCCGAAUCUAACAGUGUAUUUAGAUUUUUAAUUUUGGGUUCAGUUUUCAAAUUGGUCUACAUUAAGGUCCAAAGGGUCCAAAAUUUAACUUUGUUUGAUUUUAGCAAAAAUUGAAUAUAUGAGGUUCUUUGAUAUGCUGAAUCUAAACAUGUAUUUAGAUUUUUGAUUUUUGGCCCAGUUUUCAAGUUGGUCCAAAUUGGGGUCCAAAAUUAAACUUUGUUUGAUUUCAACAAAAAUUGAAUAUAUGGGGUUCUUUGAUAUGCUGAAUCUAACCAUGUAUUUAGAUUUUUUAUUUGUGGACCCCGUUAUCUAAUUGGUUCAUAUUGAGGUCAAAAGGGUCCAAAAUUAAACUUUGUUUGAUUUCAUCUAAAAUUGAAUUAUUGGGGUUCUUUGAUAUUCCAAAUCUAACCGUGUAUUUAGGUUUUUAAUUUUGGGUCCUGUUUUUUAAAUUGGUCUACAUUGAGGUCCAAAGGGUCCAAAAUUAAACUUAGUUUGAUUUUAACAAAAAUUGAAUUCUUGGGGUUCUUUGAUUUGCUGAAUCUAAACAUGUGUUUAGAUUUUUGAUUAUGGGCCCAGUUUUCAAGUUGGUCCAAGAUAGGGUCCAGUAUUAAAACUUUGUUUGAUUUCAACAAAAAUUGAAUAUAUGGGGUUCUUUGAUAUGCUGAAUCUAAACAUGUAUUUAGAUUUUUGAUUAUGGGCCCAGUUUUCAAGUUGGUCCAAAUUGGGGUCCAAAAUUAAACUUUGUUUGAUUUCAACAAAAAUUGAAUAUAUGAGGUUCUUUGAUAUGCUGAAUCUAACCAUGUAUUUAGAUUUUUUAUUUGUAGGCCCCGCUAUCAAAUUGGUUCAUAUUGAGGUCAAAAGGGUCCAAAAUUAAACUUUGUUUGAUGUCAUCGAAAAUUGAAUUAUUGGGGUUCUUUGAUAUGCCAAAUCUAACCGUGUUUUUAGAUUUUUAAUUUGGGUCCCGUUUUUUAAAUUGGUCUUCAUUGAGGUCCAAAGGGUCCAAAAUUAAACUUAGUUUGAUUUUAACAAAAAUUGAAUUCUUGGGGUUCUUUGAUAUGCUGAAUCUAAACAUGUGUUUAGAUUUUUGAUUAUGGGCCCAGUUUUCAAGUUGGUCCAAGUUGGGGUCCAAAAUUAAACUUUGUUUGAUUUCAACAAAAAUUGAAUAUAUGGGGUUCUUUGAUAUGCUGAAUCUAACCAUGUAUUUAGAUUUUUUAUUUGUGGACUCCGUUAUCUAAUUGGUUCAUAUUGAGGUCAAAAGGGUCCAAAAUUAAACUUUGUUUGAUUUCAUCUAAAAUUGAAUUAUUGGGGUUCUUUGAUAUUCCAAAUCUAACCGUGUAUUUAGGUUUUUAAUUUUGGGUCCUGUUUUUAUACGACCGCAAAAAAAUUUUGUGGUCGUAUAUUGGUAUGACGUUGUCGUCGUCGUCGUCCGGCGUCGUCGUCCGAAGACACAUUGGUUUUCGCGCUCUAACUUUAGUUUAAGUGAAUGGAUCUCUAUGAAAUUUUACCAUAAGGUUCAAUACCUCAAAAGGAAGGUGGGGAUUGAUUUUGGGGGUUAUGGUACCAACAGUUAAGGAAUUAGGGGUCAAAAAGGGGCCAAAAAUAAGCAUUUUUGUAACUUCCAGACAUAACUUGUGUGUUAGUGUAUGGAUCUCUCUGACAUUGUACCACAAGGUUCCAUAUCACAAAGGGAAUGCUGGGAUUGAUUUUGGGGGUAAUUGCCUCCAAAUUUUAGGAAUUAGGGGCCAAAAAGGGGCAAAAAACAAGCAUUUUUCUAUUUUCAUGACAAUAACUUGUGUGUAAGUGUGUGGAUCUUUAUGAAAUUGUACUACAAGGUUUCAUAUCACAAAGGGAAAGCUGGAAUUGAUUUUGGGGGUAAUUUCCCAUAACGUUUUGGAAUAAGGGGCCAAAAAGGGGUCAACAAUAAGCAUUUUUCUAGUUUCCAGACAAUAACUUGUGUUCAAGUGUAUGGAUCUCUCUGAAAUUGUACUGCAAAGUACCAUACCACAAAGGGAAGGCUGGGAUUGAUUUUGGGGUUAAAUCCCUAGAAAUUUGAGGAAUUAGGGGCCAUAAAGGGGCAAAAAACAAGCAUUUUUCUAGUUUCAGGACAAUAACUUGUGUGUAAGUGUAUGGAUCUUUAUGAAAUUGUACUGCAAGGUUCCAUAUCACAAAGGGAAAGCUGGGUUUGAGUUUGGGGGUAAUUGCCCUAAAUGUUUAGGAAUUUUGGGCCAAAAAGGGACCAAAAAACAAGCAUUUUUCUAGUUUCCAGACAAUAACUUUUGUUCAAGUGUAUGGAUCUCUCUGAAAUUGUACAGUAAUCAUACAUGUGAACCUCCCGACGGGAAUACAAUAAUCCCGUUUUCAGGGGUCUCCUCCCGACCUCCCGUUGAAGACAAAAAAAUACCGUGUAUGAAAUAUUUCAUGAAUGAAAAAUUUCAGCCCAACAUAUCUGGUGUAACUGACAUUACCUGAAGUUAUAUUUUACCUGUAAAUCAAUUAACAUGCAUAAUUAUAUGGCUUCACUUGUCACCUUGGGUGUCAAACAUACUGGUAAUCAACGAUUUUUACAUCAGGCUAA